AUUGAACGCUGGCGGCAGGCCUAACACAUGCAAGUCGAGCGAGCGGCGGACGGGUGAGUAAUGCUUGGGAAUCUGCCUUUUGGAGGGGGACAACAUCUUGAAAGGGUAGCUAAUACCGCAUACCAAUAGAUGUGCCUAAGUAGGAUUAGCUAGUUGGUGGGGUAAAGGCCCACCAAGGCGACGAUCGCUAGCGGGUCUGAGAGGAUGACCCGCCACACUGGGACUGAGACACGGCCCAGACUCCUACGGGAGGCAGCAGUGGGGAAUAUUGGACAAUGGGGGCAAGCCUGAUGCAGCCAUGCCGCGUGUGUGAAGAAGGCCUUCGGGUUGUAAAGCACUUUCAGCGGGGAGGCGUUACCCGCAGAAGAAGCACCGGCUAACUCCGUGCCAGCAGCCGCGGUAAUUC
rnacentral:rRNA from 1 species